CGGACGGGUGAGUAAUGUCUGGGAAACUGCCCGAUGGAGGGGGAUAACUACUGGAAACGGUAGCUAAUACCGCAUAAUGUCUACGGACCAAAGCGGGGGACCUCCGGGCCUCGCGCCAUCAGAUGAACCCAUAUGGGAUUAGCUAGUAGGUGGGGUAACGGCUCACCUAGGCGACGAUCCCUAGCUGGUCUGAGAGGAUGACCAGCCACACUGGAACUGAGACACGGUCCAG
rnacentral:rRNA from 1 species